GACGAACGCUGGCGGCGUGCUUAACACAUGCAAGUCGAACGGAAAGGCCCUGCUUUUGUGGGGUGCUCGAGUGGCGAACGGGUGAGUAACACGUGAGUAACCUGCCCUUGACUUUGGGAUAACUUCAGGAAACUGGGGCUAAUACCGGAUAGGAGCUCCUGCUGCAUGGUGGGGGUUGGAAAGUUUCGGCGGUUGGGGAUGGACUCGCGGCUUAUCAGCUUGUUGGUGGGGUAGUGGCUUACCAAGGCUUUGACGGGUAGCCGGCCUGAGAGGGUGACCGGCGACAUUGGGACUGAGAUACGGCCCAGACUCCUACGGGAGGCAGCAGUGGGGAAUAUUGCACAAUGGGCGGAAGCCUGAUGCAGCAACGCCGCGUGCGGGAUGACGGCCUUCGGGUUGUAAACCGCUUUCGCCUGUGACGAAGAGUGAGUGACGGUAAUGGGUAAAGAAGCACCGGCUAACUACGUG
rnacentral:rRNA from 1 species